UACGUAGGGCGCAAGCGUUGUCCGGAAUUAUUGGGCGUAAAGAGCUCGUAGGCGGUUUGUCGCGUCUGCUGUGAAAUCCCGAGGCUCAACCUCGGGCUUGCAGUGGGUACGGGCAGACUAGAGUGCGGUAGGGGAGACUGGAAUUCCUGGUGUAGCGGUGGAAUGCGCAGAUAUCAGGAGGAACACCGAUGGCGAAGGCAGGUCUCUGGGCCGCAACUGACGCUGAGGAGCGAAAGCCGUGGGGGAGCGAACAGG
rnacentral:rRNA from 1 species